UAUGUCCUAUAAUAACGUGCUGAUCCAAAGUGUCAUACACUAAAGAGUUAUAAUAUAAUUGAAAUACUGUUUAGUUUUUAACUUCUUUAAGUCUUAAAGGAUAUUAUAUAAAAAUAUCCUUGAAAUGUAAAAUUCCUGAACACACUUUAAAAUUUAGGUAUAAUAUAAAAAAUAUUAAUGUCAUCGUACAGCCAUGUCAAAAAAAUUUUAUCAGCCAGUAAGGUCAAAUAUUCUAACCAUGGAGGCAGAGGUUGUUUUCAGAGCCUGUACUUUGGAGUCAGACUGCCUAGGAUUGAAUCCCAUUUCUACAAAUUUACCUUCUCUGUGCCUUUUUCCUCGCUUGUAAAAUGGAAAACAAUGAUAAUAUGUCUUUCUCAGUUUUGAGGACUAAAUGAAUUCACAUGUAAACAAACAUUUAGAAUAAAACUUGACACAGAAUGUUAUUUAAAUGUUUGUUUUCAUUUGUCACAAAGUCUAAAAUAAAAAUGCAUCACGUAUAUUUCUCUAAAAUAAUUGACCUACACUUAAAUAUUUUUUUUGAGUAGCAUUGCCUGAAUCAUCACAGUAAGAACUUUUAAGUACUAGGAAUGAUAACUGAAACCCUAUUGAAUAAUUCCAAGUAGUGACUACCUUCUAGAGUAGGGAAAGACUCUAGCAUUUAUUUACAAAUCUGUUUUAUGCCAAAAUCUGUGAACAAUUCCUAUACAUACCUAAGCAUAUUCUAAAAUAAUUAUAUUUAUAGUUCAGCAGAAAUACACUAAGAAUAUGGGGUAAAUGAAUUUUUUAUAUCCAAAUUAGUAGAUAGAAGAUAUAAUUUGAGUGAGUACCCCUUUUCCCAAUGUAACAGUUGCUUGAAUCCUCUUCUGGGGCUGUUUGGCACAUUAAAAGACUAUUUUGGGGACAGGGAAGCUGGUUAACCAAUACCAGUUGACUAGACCAUGCAUGCUAGAAGUAGUCCUCAAUGUAGUUACCCAGCCAUCCCAUUAGAAAAGAAAUGCAGCAUAGGUUCAGUUCACAAAUGCAGAGUGGCUUUUUUUUGUUUGCAUUGCUACUUAAAAUUCUGGUUGCCAAAUAAACUUAAGAUGAGGUUCUCUGCUUUUGAUAAGACAUGCAUAGAUAACCUUUCUGAACUUGUCUAAAUGUUAAGAGUUCCUCUAGUCUUGUGUUCUCAACCUGUGCUGUACAUUAUUAAUCUGGAAACGUAGAAAAAUCUUGAUAUUUGGGUCCUACCCCAUGAGGUUCUGCCGAAUUGGUCUGAGAGGCAGCCUGAACAACAGGAGUUUAUAAAGCUCUGAAAGUGACACAAAUGUACAGCAGUGCUUUAGACUGCUGAUCUAGCUUAAUCCUCUACUUUUACAGAGAGGUAAGGUCACAGAGGAUGUUAUUUACAUAGCAUAUAAUCAGGGUGUUUAGUGCACUAGCAGAAGAAAAAGACUGUUGCAGUGUCAUACCUCAUACCUCUUUGUUUCCAAAAUGGUAGUGAAGGACCAGUUACUCGGAGCAGAGUAUUGACUCUUCAAGAGCAACUAAGUUGCAGGGCAGAUGAAUUAAGAUACACAUGCCUUCUUGAAAAGGCAUUGAAAUACCUUAGGGAAAAGCUUAUUUUCUAAGAUACGUACUACAAAGGUAAUUUUGAACUGUAUUUGAAAGAAUUUGAGCCUUAAGUAUUUUACAAGUCACUAAUAUUGCUUACACAAAAAAAUAUUAAACCAUUAACCUUUAUACCUUUCAUCUCUCUAAUAUGAAUAUGGCUAUUAAGCCAUAAAAAUUGAAUAAAUUUAAGUGUGUAAGUACCAACUCAAGGAUAUAUAAGAUACUUAUUUGGAGGAAAUCAAAAUUGUUUAUUCCACUUACUGUUUACACCGAUGGAUACUGUGGUUUAGUUCUAUCUGAUAGCUGGAAAGCACAAUCAACACAGAUGUGUAAUUCAUUAUAUUUUUUGUAUGUUAUUUCACGAGUAGUAUAAUUCACUGUGACUUCUAGUAAAAGUUAAAAUACAAGACUAGGUGAAGUGUCCAUGAAACUCCUUUCACGUAUAGAAGAGUUUAAUUAUUAGAGAUUAUUAAUCAAAAAUAGGUUUUGAAAUUCAAUUUUCCAUCUUUACAGUGUAUGGUUUUGAGUUGAGUAGCCUAGCUUCAUAAACUAAUACCUAGAAUUUAAAAAAUACAUAUAAUUGAAAUCAUUGCAUUUGUAAAAUUUUUGUUCAACAGUUUUUUAUUAAAAGACUUAACUCCUGAAAAUCUGGCAUUUUAUCAGGUAUUGUGGAAGUGAAGUCGACAUCACAGACCCUGGUUUCAAUUAGGCUAAAUCUUAUGGGG